rnacentral:rRNA from 1 species
UCCAGACUCCUACGGGAGGCAGCAGUGGGGAAUAUUGCACAAUGGGGGAAACCCUGAUGCAGCAACGCCGCGUGAGUGAAGAAGUCAUUCGUGAUGUAAAGCUCUCUCAGCAGGGAAGAAAAUGACGGUACCUGAGUAAGAAGCCCCGGCUAACUACGUGCCAGCAGCCGCGGUAAUACGUAGGGGGCAAGCGUUAUCCGGAUUUACUGGGUGUAAAGGGAGCGUAGACGGCCAGACAAGUCUGAAGUGAAAAUCCAGCGCUUAACGUUGGAAGUGCUUUGGAAACUGCCGGACUAGAGUGCAGGAGGGGCAGGCGGAAUUCCUAGUGUAGCGGUGAAAUGCGUAGAUAUUAGGAGGAACACCAGUGGCGAAGGCGGCUUACUGGACUGUAACUGACGUUGAGGCUCGAAGGCGUGGGGAGCAAACAGGAUUAGAUGCCCUUGUA